rnacentral:rRNA from 1 species
AUACGUAGGGGGCCAGCGUUGUCCGGAUUUACUGGGCGUAAAGAGCGCGUAGGCGGUUUGGUAAGCGGAGGGUGAAAUCCCGGGGCUCAACUCCGGGGCUGCUCUCCGAACUGCUUGACUAGAGUACGGGAGAGGGUAGUGGAAUUCCUGGUGUAGCGGUGGAAUGCGUAAAUAUCAGGAGGAACACCCGUGGCGAAGGCUGCUACCUGGAACGUUACUGACGCUGAGGCGCGAAAGCUAGGGGAGCGAACGGGAUUAGAUACCCCGGUAGUCCUAGCCGUAAACGAUGGACACUAGGUGUUGGAGGCAUCGACCCCUUCAGUGCUGUUCUGCUAACGCGUUAAGUGUCCCGCCUGGGGAGUACGGCCGCAAGGUUGAA